GAUGAACGCUAGCUACAGGCUUAACACAUGCAAGUCGAGGGGAAACGACAUUGAAGCUUGCUUCGAUGGUCGUCGACCGGCGCACGGGUGAGUAACGCGUAUCCAACCUGCCUCUGACCAAGGGAUAACCCGUCGAAAGUCGGCCUAAUACCUUAUGCAGUCGUCGGAAGUCAUCUGAUGACGACGAAAGAUUUCAUCGGUGAGAGAUGGGGAUGCGUCUGAUUAGCUUGUUGGCGGGGUAACGGCCCACCAAGGCAACGAUCAGUAGGGGUUCUGAGAGGAAGGUCCCCCACAUUGGAACUGAGACACGGUCCAAACUCCUACGGGAGGCAGCAGUGAGGAAUAGUGGUCAAUGGGCGAGAGCCUGAACCAGCCAAGUAGCGUGCAGGAUGACGGCCCUAUGGGUGGUAAACUGCUUUUAUGCGGGGAUAAAGUGAGGGACGUGUCCUUCAUUGCAGGUACCGCAUGAAUAAGGACCGGCUAAUUCCGUG
rnacentral:rRNA from 1 species